UGGACAUAAUACACAUGUUUGUAAACUCGGCCAAAAGGCCUAGAGAUCCCAAGGAAUGAACUGUUAGUAUUAAGGUUUUCCCUUUAUGUUAUUUUGCCCAGUAUACUGUACUACCCUGUUUUUAAAUACCUUUGAAUGUUUUGCAGUGUACCUCUAUUUUAAAUAUGUAUUGUAGAUCCUUUAAUCCCCUUGCUCUUUAUUGUAAAAUGUUUUAUUUCCCAAUCAAUAAAUCCACCCGACUGUGAUGGCCAAGCAACACCCGACGGCUGUGAGAGUAGCGAUACAGAAUCUCGUUCCGGAUCCAUAUGUCGUGUCAUUUAAAGUUCUGAUUGGACAAGUAAUAACCGGACUUGCCACAGGUGGACGGGCCACCUUUACUUAACCCGGAAAAGAGACAGUCUCGUCUGUCUUAGUAAUAGUCAAAAGCCUCGUCAUCUAAUUAGUGACGCGCAUGAAUGGAUGAACGAGAUUCCCACUGUCCCUACCUACUAUCCAGCAAAACCACAGCCAAGGGAACGGACUUGACGGAAUCAGGGGGGAAAGAAGAGUUGUUGAGCUGUUGAGCUUGACUCUAGUCUGGCGCUGUGAAGAGACAUGAGAGGUGUAGAAUAAGUGGGAGGCCAGGCACGCGCUCGGCCAGUCGGUGUCCCGGUCGUCGGUGAAAUACCACUACUCUGAGAAUCAGUCCUCGACACAAGCUUUUGUCUCU
rnacentral:ncRNA from 1 species